UUGCAGUUAAAAAGCUCGUAGUCGGAUUUCAGUUUGAUUUAGGAUCUUCUACCCGGAGGCCCUUGAUCUUCUUCCUUGACAUAAACAGCCAUGUCCUUCAUUGGAUGUAGUUUGGGAGUGUCUCUUUUACUUUGAGAAAAUUAGAGUGCUUAAAGCAGGUAUCCGCCCUGAAAUAUUACUCUUGGAAUAAUACUAUAGGACUUUGGUUCUGCAUUGUUGGUGUUCAGAGCCAGAGUAAUGAUUGAUAGGGACGGUUGGGGUCAUUAGUACUGCGAAGCGAGAGGUGGAAUUCUUGGACCUUUGUAUGACUAACAACUGCGAAAGCAUUUGACUAGGACGUUCCCGUUGAUCAAGAACGAAAGUUGGGGGAUCGAAGACGAUCAGAUACCGUCGUAGUCUCAACCAUAAACUAUGCCAGCUAGGGAUUGGAGGAAGUUAAUUUAUGACUCCUUCAGCACCUUAUGAGAAAUCAAA
rnacentral:rRNA from 1 species